rnacentral:rRNA from 1 species
GGGAUAACUACUGGAAACGGUAGCUAAUACCGCAUAACGUCGCAAGACCAAAGAGGGGGACCUUCGGGCCUCUUGCCAUCGGAUGUGCCCAGAUGGGAUUAGCUGGUAGGUGGGGUAACGGCUCACCUAGGCGACGAUCCCUAGCUGGUCUGAGAGGAUGACCAGCCACACUGGAACUGAGACACGGUCCAGACUCCUACGGGAGGCAGCAGUGCGGAAUAUUGCACAAUGGGCGCAAGCCUGAUGCAGCCAUGCCGCGUGUAUGAAGAAGGCCUUCGGGUUGUAAAGUACUUUCAGCGGGGAGGAAGGGAGUAAAGUUAAUACCUCUGCUCAUUGACGCUACCCGCAGAAGAAGCACCGGCUAACUCCGUGCCAGCAGCCGCGGUAAUACGGAGGGUGCAAGCGUUAAUCGGAAUUACUGGGCGUAAAGCGCACGCAGGCGGUUUGUUAAGUCAGAUGUGAAAUCCCCGGGCUCAACCUGGGAACUGCAUCUGAUACUGGCAAGCUUGAGUCUCGUAGAGGGGGGUAGAAUUCCAGGUGUAGCGGUGAAAUGCGUAGAGAUCUGGAGGAAUACCGGUGGCGAAGGCGGCCCCCUGGACGAAGACUGACGCUCAGGUGCGAAAGCGUGGGGAGC